rnacentral:lncRNA from 1 species
GAAUUUUGUAUUUCAUACAAAAGUUUUCUUUUAACAUACAUAUACCCUUGAUCAGUUUUUCAAAAGUACAGACAACUUUUGCUUAGAUUAAGUUAAAAUCAUGCAUUACAAAAGGUAAUUGCAUCAGUAAAAGUCACUAAACUCUACAGCAAAAGGUCAUUGCAUCAACAAUAGGCGCCACUGCUAAUCUUGUAUCACAGUCGAGGUCUGAUUCACAAGUGGUACUAGCUCUAGGCAAAGAUGUUGUGCUAUCAACCACAGGAGAGAGCCGCAGUGCAUAUUGAACCAUGUUACCAGAAGGAGAAAAACCAUCAGGUAAUAGUUUUUCUUAGGAGAACUGGUAUCUGUAUACAAAUCAUUGGCUUUGCAGUUUUAGAAAGCAGAAGCAAUUACUCCAGAGACAGAAAUCGUCCACCAAGUUGGAGCAGCAGCAGCACCACUCACUGUGUUUCUCCAUCCACUAUUUCCAUUCCUUAUUCUGCUAACAGCAUCAGUGGUUGAGUUAGCACCUGCAAUCCUGGAAUUGGUGGCUCGCCAACCAUGGGAUCUGCCAUCAAGCUGGAUCCAGUGUUUCUAGUACUAAAACAAGAAUCAGUGGAUACCAACCCACCUGAAGGACAAAUAGGAAAGAGAUGACUUGUUUCUUUCGAGGAACUAAUCGUAAUCCAUUGGCUGUGAACACUAAAACUUGUACCCUGUAUGACGUGAGAAGGCAUUACCAAAGAGAAAAGGAUCGGUUCCUUUUCCACCUACAAAACUAAAUCAAAUAGAUGAAAACGAUAAAUCUAGCUCUUACAACAUUUGUUAAACCACGUUGAAGCCUAUAAAUAUGGCAAUAAGAAGGGCCAGAAGAAGCUCUAGAAUGUCCAGGCAUAAUACGAAAUACAUUGAUUGAUGUUGUAACCAUGAACUGAAGCCGUCACUGAAAGGAUGCCACUAGGAUCAAAGCAUAGUGAUUGAAUAGGACUUUUAAAAUUGACUGAGAAAAAGACCCAUAAUGUCAAAUGUUUACGUGAUUAUAAAAAUCAAUGCAUCUAGGUGAUACUUUGAUUGAAAGAAAAAACCAGAUUUGUCAAAAUAAAUAUGUUAGCAAUUUUUUUUUUAACAAAAAAUAUCGUGCUCGUGCUCGAAAAGUCUAUGUAAAAUAAGAUACGAUAUAUCCUAGCAUUUUAAAAUCCUAAAAUUUUAACAAAGAUCAAAAAGAAAAUUCAUCAUCUUCUUUCUGAACACCUUCUUGAAUUAUAGCAACUAAUACUUGCCGCAGCUGCAUACAGAAACUAGUUGUUACCACAGUGGUCGUAGUUGUGGAAAUGCUGUAUCUAGCCAUAGCUUUACUCCACCAUUAAAGUGGAUGACACCGGCACUUUCAGCAUCUGCAACAUUCAUGUUUUCCGGGUAUCCUAAUCCUAGCAUGUGCCAAAAAGGGAUCGAUUGCAUAGGUAUGUCCACGGAAAGCUAUUAGACCAGGAGGUAAAGUUCCUAGCUGCCACGAACUCGAGCUUGAUUUUAUGUUCUGCAAAGGGAAAAUUAAGACAACAGAAAACAUUUGAUAUAUUUAAGAAAUUGAACAAUUCCAUUUUUUUUGAGGAAUUCGUUACCUCUUCAAUCCAAUGAUGGUAUACCUAGCUAUUAUUUUUUUUUCCUACAAGCGUCUAGAUCAAUGUUCAUGCCAUAUGCCCAUUUAUAUUCAUUUUGAUUAAAAUUGUUUGUUAUAGAGGAUGAGAAAAGUUCAAAUAACUUCCGAACUUCUUCAAGCUGAAAUAUUUGUCUUCGCCUAUGCAUGUUUCGACUGCUCUGUUGACAUUUCCAUUCACGUCGAUAUACCAGAGAGGCGAAAGAUCAGUUUGCACUACAAUGUCAUCAUCCAGGAAGACUACCUUGUUAAGACUAGGAAACAACUGCAAAUAAAAUGCAUUUUACAUAUUAGAUAAUGGCUCUUAAACCAUUUUAGGGAAAGCGUCGCAACUUUGAGACUCAACUCCGGAAAAUGUAUACUUAUGGCUAAGUGCCUGCAAUUUUGCUGCAAUAACUUUAGGUUGUUCGGUGUUAUUUGCCACAAUGGCCGAUGACCCUCCUCUAAAAUGCGAGCAAACUUUUUGGUCUUUCUUCAUUGCUUCCAACACAGGGACCUUCCCCUUUGUUAACCAAUCAAAAUGGUGCAAUGCUUUGACUUCAAUCAUUGCUGGUGUCAAAGGAUGCUAGGAAUACCAUGCCUGCAUUGGAAGGUAAGUCUUUCUAUCUGUAAUAAUGUGUAGGACUACCCUCUCGGGGUACAACGAGUUUUGCACGAGCGAUGAUGCAACAGCACGGCAAGGACAUUGUCAGAGGCGAGCACAAAGUGGAAGAACGAGUUGUCAACCAGGAUAGGGACAAAUUCUGCCGCGGGUAGCUGGAGACGGACAUNA